AACCAAUGAUAUAAUGAUUCUGCUAAAUGAAAUGGAAUGGUAUCACUUGUAGAACCAGUCCAUUUUGGUUCUAAGGUU
ensembl:snoRNA